CCAGUCGGCCCGGGGGCAGAACCUUGUCCCGCGGACCUUACGCGCCCGGACGCCGGCCGAGAUCUCAAGCCAAAGCCCCAUUGCAGUAGCCGUGCCUGCGGUCCUAUUGACCCCACGGCGAUGGACCUGAAUUUGCAUGAAGGUUGACUCUUCACGGCCACCUAGUUUAAUCGAGGAAUCCAAAUGAAACCUCACUCAAGGAAGCCAUAAAAUUAUCUCUUGCCAUUGCAGUCCAGUGCCAACUUGAAACGUACACAGAUGCAAAUAACGCUCCGAACACCUGAGGUUUGAAAUCCCAGAGCAAGGCGCCUUUGAUACUCCCAGUGCCUGAGGUCGGCCCCCACGCCCUGUUGUGACACACAUGCCUAAGCACUACGCCUGCAACACGCUCACACUCAGAGAGGUACCAAAAUAGAAGACUGCCAGAAAGAGGUGUUUGGUUACACAUCGCAGAUGACUGUCACAAGCCAAUUUAGCCAAAGCAGUAAAAGCCGCAUAUCCCA